CACGUAGGGGGCAAGCGUUGUCCGGAUUUAUUGGGCGUAAAGCGCUCGUAGGUGGUUCGGUAAGUCAGGUGUGAAACCUCCAGGCUCAACCUGGAGACGCCACUUGAUACUGCUGUGACUGGAGUCCGGUAGGGGAGCGUGGAAUUCCUGGUGUAGCGGUGAAAUGCGCAGAUAUCAGGAGGAACACCAGCGGCGAAGGCGGCGCUCUGGGCCGGUACUGACACUGAGGAGCGAAAGCGUGGGGAGCAAACAGG
rnacentral:rRNA from 1 species